rnacentral:rRNA from 3 species
UACGGAGGGUGCAAGCGUUAUCCGGAUUCACUGGGUUUAAAGGGUGCGUAGGCGGGUAGGUAAGUCAGAGGUGAAAUCCUGGAGCUUAACUCCAGAACUGCCUUUGAUACUAUCUAUCUUGAAUAUGGUGGAGGUAAGCGGAAUAUGUCAUGUAGCGGUGAAAUGCAUAGAUAUGACAUAGAACACCUAUUGCGAAGGCAGCUUACUACGCCUAUAUUGACGCUGAGGCACGAAAGCGUGGGGAUCAAACAGG